UUUUUUUGUACUACUGUUCAUCCAACCUCAUUUGAGCUCGGGGCUGAGAAACUCUACUUUCCAUUUAGCUAACUUCUUAGUAAGGCCUUGUUGUGCAAUUUCUUAUACUUAAUUAUCAUCUAAAAAUAGUUACAAGAAGGACAGAAAGGUUCUUUUCUAUUUCUAUGUUUUUUGUUUUUUGUUUUUGUUUUUUUGCUUUUGCAUUUGCCCCUAAAGAGAGCUUGAACGGAAGAAGGCUCAACGCAGGGAGAGUAGGGGUUUGGUUUGGCCAUUUCCUCAGCCUUCUUCUCCCGUUCCUCUCCCUUUUUCUCUCUCGUGGUGGCCGCCUCCUUUCAGCUUGCAUAGCUCUAGAUCUCCGUCCCUCUCUCUCCCCCUGCAGUGCCAGCCAGCUCUUGAAUUUCUUGCUGUAGUGUUCUACACUUGCGCUGUUGCAGAGAAAGAAAGUAGAGGGGGAAAGAAGAAGGGGUUGCACGAAGAAAAGGGGCGAGAAGAGAAUCUGAAUUCGCUUUCAGUCAUUGACCAACCCAACGGCUCCGUCGACCUCACCUUUCGAGUCUACUUCGCCGUCGUCCCACCCACCGCCUCCGUAUCGCCUUCUCCGACGCGACGACCUGCAAGCGGAAUUUACAGCCUCCAGCCCUGAUGCGCACAGCCACUGAGCGGAAUUUCCGGGAGCACUUACCAAGCGAAGACUCGAAAGUCAUCGUGCUAGCCCUCCGAAGUUUCGGGGAAAUUUGGCCACACUGUGUGGCCAUCCGGCGUAUGGGCAUGGAGACGACGAGCAGACGGGGCAGUGUAUAUAUUUGUCACGUAUCGACCUACAUAAACCAACUGAUGAACAAGUAAUUUACACCCUGCUAAGCAGCACCAGUGAGUUCUUAGCCUCGCGCAUGGGCAUGGGGUUGCCGGCGACAAGCCGCUUGCUGGUGUUCCUCUCUUUGCUCAAGCUUUGGAGCAUCGCCGUCGACGGUGCGUCGCCAGCUGCCGGCGCGGUGGCGCGGGAGGCGACGGCGCCUGCGCCGGUGCGGUUCGGCGUGGGGGGCAGGAGCCUGACCUGCAAUUCCGUGGAGGUCCUGGAUGCGUUCUACCUGAAGCAACCAAGCUGCGCCAACUGGGCGGACCUGCGAGCCAAGGAUUCCCGCGGAGAGGCCGUCGCAGCAGCACACGCUGCCGAGGACCUGAUCAAGAAUGCCCAAGUGCAAGCCAUCAUCUGGGGCCUUCAGACGCUGAACAAUGCAGAUCACAUGCCACACCUGGCCGACCACAACAACAUUCCGGCUCUCUCCUUCUACGGCAGCGGUGCCUUCUGGCAAGAAGAUCCUGUAAACGAUUCCGCGGGCCUUACACUAGGAUCAAAUGACACCAUGAUAUCAUUUCCCUCGAAAACCGAGAAAAUAAACGGCAUGAAACUGGAUACAAGAAAUUCAAGACAAAAUCACGAAGGUCAGAUGAUGCUGAAAGAUUUUGCGAAUGUUAUUUAUCCUAUUUUUGAGAAACAAAACGUCAGCACGUACAGUACUGUUGAAGAUAUGGUGACUCGCAAAUGCCGAGGCUCUUCCAAGAUGAUGCUUAGUGGUGAGCACUGUGAUGAGCUUGUAUGCAGCGUGUCUCCGAUGGUGAAGUUGGGAGUGGGCGGUGUGCCAUACGCACAGUCUGGUGCGUCUAUGAUUGUGCUCGUCGAGGAUGAACCAUAUACAAUCAGCUGGACAUUUGUAAAGCCACUAAGUAGGAAUCUUUGGUUUGCAACCAUUAUCUUCUUCUUCUAUACUGGCAUUGUUGUGUGGAUGAUUGAACUACCUAGAAAUCCAGAAUACCAAGGAUCAAGUUUGAGACAAUGUAGCGCUGGCCUCUACUUUGUUUUCUCUACUUUGACGUUUUCUCAUGGUUAGCACUUCAACCUUCAAAUUAUUAGAAGCCCCUUGUCAAAAAUUGUUGUGGUAAUAUGGUGCUUUGUAGUGUUGAUUCUGGUACAGAGCUACACAUCAAGCUUGUCAUCCAUAUUAACCACGGAGAGGCUCCGUCCUUGGAUGAUUGAUCUAGACCAGCUCCAACACAGUGGUGACUUUGUAGGAUACCAAGAUGAUUCAUGUGUGCGGUCCUUCUUGAUGAAUUCUCAAAAUAUCAGUGAAAGUAGGUUAAAAACCUACAGAACGAAGGAAGAAUAUGCUGCCGCUAUGCGGAAGGGGUCCAAGAAUGGAGGGGUGUCAGCUAUCGUCGGUGCGAUCCCCUAUUUAACAUCUUUCCUCUCUGAUAGUCGGUACAAAGAUGAUUUUAUGAUGCUUGGUUGCAUAUACACGACUCCUGGAUUUGGUUUUACAUUCCAUCUAGGUUUUCCGCUAGUGCAAAAUCAUUCAACUACCAUCCUGAACCUACCGGAAGGGGUUAGCGACUCACAACUAAAAUGAGAUGUUUUGGCACCACUUCAGUGCUGAUGGGUGAUGACACAACUCCUGACUUUGGUUUUGCACCUCUCACUUUACAAAACUUCUCGGGGCUCUUCGUCAUCACUGGAUCCAUUUCAACUAUCACGAUACUGAUAGCCAUUGUGAGGUUGGUUUAUGCCAAAUGCACCAAGUCGAGAAACACUGACAUGGAAAGCGCCAGGGAUAAUAGUGUCGAAGAGGAUCGCCACUCGAUGCAGAAUGGCUUGGACGACAACCCUAGCCCUAGCCAACAACUCCUCCAUGAAGCCGGAGAUGAUUAUCCCCAGGGUGUGCGUGAGGGCGGCCAAAAUGAUGGGGGUGCUCAGCCUGACCCAGUGCAGCAGAAUGUCAUGCACGGUGGCAUCACCCCUGCAGGACACUUCCAGAUUGAAACUAACAAUGUCUGAGUCAAUAAAUGCCCAAGAUGAAGGGAAGCAUCGGAUGCGAGGAAUGCGAGAGAAGUACGGCAAACCUUGGAAGUACUUCUCUCGUCAUUGAAGUGAUGUUGCGCUCUAAACCUUGGACCAAUUAGAAUUAGCUUCCUUUUCUCCUUCCCACACUUUUCGAGAGAGAAAUUGAUGUUCAACGAGUGAUGUGUAUAUUGU